rnacentral:rRNA from 1 species
UACGUAGGGGGGCAAGCGUUGUCCGGAAUCAUUGGGCGUAAAGAGCGCGUAGGCGGUCCCAGUAAGUCCGCUCUGAAAGUCCGGGGCUCAACCCCGGGAGGCGGGCGGAUACUGCUGGGCUAGAGUCCGGAAGAGGCGAGUGGAAUUCCCUGGUGUAGCGGUGAAAUGCGCAGAUAUCAGGAGGAACACCCAAUGGCGAAGGCAGCUCGCUGGGACGGUACUGACGCUGAGGCGCGAAAGCGUGGGGAGCGAACAGG